CCUACGGGUGGCAGCAGUGGGGAAUAUUGCACAAUGGGCGCAAGCCUGAUGCAGCCAUGCCGGGUGUGUGAAGAAGGCCUUCGGGUUGUAAAGCACUUUCAGCGGGGAGGAAGGCGGUGAGGUUAAUAACCUCAUCGAUUGACGUUACCCGCAGAAGAAGCACCGGCUAACUCCGUGCCAGCAGCCGCGGUAAUACGGAGGGUGCAAGCGUUAAUCGGAAUUACUGGGCGUAAAGCGCACGCAGGCGGUCUGUCAAGUCGGAUGUGAAAUCCCCGGGCUCAACCUGGGAACUGCAUUCGAAACUGGCAGGCUAGAGUCUUGUAGAGGGGGGUAGAAUUCCAGGUGUAGCGGUGAAAUGCGUAGAGAUCUGGAGGAAUACCGGUGGCGAAGGCGGCCCCCUGGACAAAGACUGACGCUCAGGUGCGAAAGCGUGGGGAGCAAACAGGAUUAGAUACCCCAGUAGUC
rnacentral:rRNA from 1 species